UGGAGGACAUCAGUUGGAUCCAGGUCUGGGUGUUGGGCAGAACCACUAGGUCCUGGAGAACAGGUAAUGGAGGACAUCAGGAGGGUCUGGAUGUUGGGCAGAACCACUAGGUCCUGGAGAACAGGUAAUGGAGGACAUCAGGAGGGUCUGGAUGUUGGGCAGAACCACUAGGUCCUGGAGAACAGGUAAUGGAGGACAUCAGGUGGAUCCAGGUCUGGGUG